GUGCUCGCUUUGGCAGCACAUAUACUAAAAUUGGGGUAAUACAGAGAAGAUUAGCAUGGCCCCUGUGCCAGGAUGACAUGAAAAUACUACAAAAAUAAAAUAAAAUA
rnacentral:snRNA from 1 species